UCGUUUUCUAAUCUCUUUGAAAAAUUAAGUGCAUUAAUACGUGUGUGUGUGUAUCUGUGUGUGUCUAUGUGUGUGUGUGUGUGUGUUUUAAAAAUCGUGAGUGCGAUGCUAAAUUCACGUUUAUUCGUUGCUCUUCGAGAGCUUGAAUUCAACUUGCUUGCUGCUGCCACGGUGUUCCCCUCUCCUUCUAUUUUAUUCACCUUCUAUCCUUGGAUUGCUAUACAUAUGUGUUUCAAACAAGAAGGAUAAAUCGCUAUCGAUAUCAUCCUACGGGUUAUUAUUUUACAUGAAUUUGUCAAAUCCUCUUUGAAAAUUCGACGCUUUAGUAGCCUCGAUGUUCCGAAUGUGUCGUGGCAACGAAUUCGUCCGUUCAACCGGACGAGCGAUUUCACGAACGAGCGCAAUGGUGUCACCGCUUGAUACGCGAUAAACGUAACUCGUUUGUACAUACGCUGGUUUAAAAAUUAUUCAUUUAUUAUUUAAAAUCGAACGACUAUUUUGUAUGCUUAAUAAAGAGAUAUGAAUUUUUUAAUAGAUACGAAUUAAUUGGUAUUGUAAUAAUUGAUAAUUAGUGUUAGCAAUCAUUUUUUUUUCAGCUCAUUGUUUGACGUACAAACGAAUUAUUCGAUUUGAAAUAAUGCUUUAAUGUGUUCUUUACCAAACGCGUUUAGAUUCUUCUAAAAUAUCAUAUUGUACUAUAUAUACUUGUAGUGUUUCAUAGAAGGAAAACAUUUACGUUUAUUUGUUUCUUUUCAUCAUUUUUUCAUCUAGUCAUUUAUAUAUUUUUAUGCAAUACUCGCAUAAUUAAAAACUCGAUCGAUUAAAAAAAAAAAAAACUUAUCGUUAAAAUGUCAAGAAUCGGUCAAUUUUUAAUACGCGUUAAUUCUCUCAAUUCGUUCUUUAUGUACGUAUACGUAAAUAAGUCUGUGUGUGUAUGUGUGUAUAUAUAUAUAUAUAUAUAUAUAUAUAUAUAUAUCGUGAAAAUAUUCUAUGGACUUAUGGAAUUAGUUCUUGGUAAUUUAAAUCAACAGGGAGUGAUCGAUCAGUCGUAUUUAAAUAAAGAAUAAAAAAGAAGUAAAAUGAAAACACGUUACGUUGUUUACUUACUCAAAAAAAAAAAAAAAAAAAAAAAGAAAAGAAAUGUAUAAUAUAUAACUAACAAUAACUGUUAGGAUAUAUAUUAACAAGAAUUUAGAACGAUCGGAUACUUAACGAUAUAGAAUGCAAAAAUUUUCGCGGAAAGAUACGGAAAGACAAACGAAAGAAUAUUUUUUAAUCUCUCCUGAAGUUAUCGUGAAUAAAAAUCUAUAAGAAAAAAAGAAAAAAAUGCAAUCAUACGUUAAUAUUAUUAUUUCAAAUUAGACGAAAGUUAUGCAAAUUAUUUUUAUCACAGUUACACUAUAUAGAUAUUACACUGCAUAAAUAUUUACAUUACAUGACGAUUGAUAAAACUAACGUUAUAUCAAUCGUCAUGUUUUUGAACGAUAUUCAAACAUGCUUAUAUGGGUUAAAAAUUCCAAUAAAGUCGAACAAAUCUUACACAUGCCUAUAUAUGUAUACUUUGCUACAUAAAUGUAAUCUAUAAAACUCAUAUUUGUGAUGUGAAAUAAGCAUCGUUUAGAUUCUCUGACACAGUAUAUAUGUACAUUCAUACGUAUAUACGCACAUACAUACAUAUAUGCAUACAUACAUGCAUACAUAUAAUCGCUCGUCGUUCAUUUUAUCACAAGCCAGAACGACUUUUGAUCUUUAAGUGGUUCUAAGAAAUCGUUGGAAGGAAAGAGCAGAUACAAACUGGGAAUUAAUUUGUGACGAACAAAAAGAAGGAGAGAGAGAGAGAGAGAGAGAAAAAAAGAAAAGAUUAAAAUAAAAAAUGAAAUAAGAAUAUACGAGUGCGUAACUUAAAAAUUAUAUAUGAUGCUAUAAAGAGUUAAUGAUUUGUAAGUGAUAACGAAAUUUGCACGAAUAAUGUCUAAGGUGGAUCGCGUUAACGAGGAAAAAGGAAAAGAGACUGACCGAUGUUUUAGCGAUAAUUUGCCCGUACGAGGACGAGCGAGAGUAAACGCGUAGGAAGGUGGUAUCCUCGGCAGGUUUCGUCACGGUGCUGCGAGUGAGGAACGUUCUCUUCGUUUGCAUUCUAUGCACAUGUAUACGAUCAUCAUCGGAUGUUACAUACACAUAUAAAACAUACAUAUAUAAAACGUUACGAACGAACAUAUUCCGUGUAUCUUUCAUUAUGUGUCGAUCCUGUGUCCGUGUCUGUGGUUCGAGUGUAUCCUGAAGUCGUAAAGUGACGAUAUUUUGUGUUUAUUUUCUUUUUUUAUCUUCAUCGUUAUUUCUCAUAUGAUAAUGUGCCAAGGUGAAGCGUGGAAAACAGUUUUUUUUGUCACGGAUUUUUCAACGAUAGCGAGGAAGAACCGGCAGAGGGGACAUCGUGGAAAAAGUAAAUUAUAGUAACAGAAAAGUCAGAGCUACCUAGAUCGUGUAGGAUUUACUACACGAUCCUUCAACGGAAACGAGCAAAUUCGAUCGUAAAAAAAAGCUUCUCCGUGAACGAUCGCUUAAUCGCACGAUGAAUCUCUCAGGACUUCCUACUUUAUUCUUGCUCGUCAUAGUGGAUGACCUUGAAAACCAGGAAAGUUUAAUAACGGUGAUCGAAACACUCAAUUCUACCAGAAUCGUAAUGUCGACUGUACUUUUUGUGGUUUAAUCAAAUGACCACGCAUUUCUUUGUUUUAAAUGACUCACAGCUGUUUACCAACGAUCACGAUGUAAGAGUGAAAUUUUGAAACUAAUGAAAUAUUCUAGAAAUUUCUAUGAUAUUAUUACAAUCGUGCUUAAUGAUCCUCUAUUUGAUAUAUUCAUCUUUAUGAGAUAACACACAAUGUCCUUCGUUGUGACUUUACUAUCGCUUACUGUUAACGCUUUGAUUAUUAUUCAUUGAUUAUUCAUGUCCUUCGAUGUAUAGGCUAAACAAUCGGAUAUUUGGCUGCACAAAUAUAUGUGAAAUAUUUGCGCGUAAAUAUGUACAUAUCUGGGAAGAAUCGAAACAAACGAGACGACAUAUUUAUAUUUCAUGAUUCUUCCUCUUUCAAAUAUUAUAUAAAAUUAAGUUUCUAUUUGGAAAAUAAAAGAAAAAAAAAAUAAAUUACAAAAAACGAAUGACAUUUCGACAAGAACAGAAUAUAAAUUAUCAUCGAAAUUUAUUUUAGUGUCAAUACCUUCGUGAACGCAGAUAUAUAUCCAGUAUAAAAUUUAUAAUCGAAGAGUCACAGAAUGACGUAGACAUGCGUACAAACGAGAGAUAGAGUGGGAGAAGAGCGAAACGGAGUCAAGCGCUUUCGCAUACGAUCCUUGAAAUGCACUUUCUAUGUAUGAAUAUUCGACACUUGGAAUAAUCGUCACGUUCGAAUGUUAAGCAUGUCUUUCUGUCUUUGUCUCUCUCUCUCUCUCUCUCUCUCUAUCUAUCUAUCUAUCUAUCUAUCUAUCUAUCUAUCUAUUUAUCUAUUUAUCUAUCUUUUUCUAUCUCUCUCGAAUUUUUCGAAUUUUGCUUAAUUCAAUUCUCAAAACUCCGACUUACACAAAAUUGUCAUACAUAUUAGAAUAUAAUA